rnacentral:rRNA from 1 species
CCUACGGGAGACAGCAGUGAGGAAUAUUGGUCAAUGGGCGCGAGCCUGAACCAGCCAAGUAGCGUGAAGGAUGACUGCCCUACGGGUUGUAAACUUCUUUUCUCAGGGACGAAGCAAGUGACGGUACCUGAGGAAUAAGCCACGGCUAACUACGUGCCAGCAGCCGCGGUAAUACGUAGGUGGCAAGCGUUAUCCGGAUUUACUGGGUGUAAAGGGCGUGUAGGCGGGAAAGCAAGUCAGAUGUGAAAACCAUGGGCUCAACCUGUGGCCUGCAUUUGAAACUGUUUUUCUUGAGUACUGGAGAGGCAGACGGAAUUCCUAGUGUAGCGGUGAAAUGCGUAGAUAUUAGGAGGAACACCAGUUGCGAAGGCGGUCUGCUGGACAGCAACUGACGCUGAGGCGCGAAAGCGUGGGGAGCAAACAGGAUUAGAUACCCCUGUAGUC